rnacentral:rRNA from 1 species
UACGAAGGGGGCUAGCGUUGCUCGGAAUCACUGGGCGUAAAGGGUGCGUAGGCGGGGCUUUAAGUCAGGGGUGAAAUCCCGGGGCUCAACCUCGGAACUGCCUUUGAUACUGCAAGUCUCGAGUCCGAUAGAGGUGAGUGGAAUUCCUAGUGUAGAGGUGAAAUUCGUAGAUAUUAGGAAGAACACCAGUGGCGAAGGCGGCUCACUGGAUCGGUACUGACGCUGAGGUGCGAAAGCGUGGGGAGCAAACAGG